AGCCUUUCGGAGCUGUGCGGCAUUCUGAGCAGGAAUGGCAGUGUGGACCUCUGUGAUGGGACAUCUUGUGGGAUCUCACAGCCAGUUCUGUGGCAAAGGAGGAUGAAGGCUUACGAGGACUCGUCAGGAAGCUGGAUAACAGAGCGAGCGCAAUGUGCUAGAAUAGAAGACCAGAAAAUGAAAUGGUGGAGUUUGAGGCUGGAUAGACAGUUUGAAAGGUAAGUAUUGAAAAACACUUGAAUUUGGGUCAGUACAAAGGGACAUGCAGAGACUUUGAAUCAUCAAAACUCCAGCAUGCAUUGUCUUACGGAUGUUUAGAUAGGUGUGUUUUGGACAACACUCUGGGUUCUUGUAAUGAUGUUGAUCAAAUGUCUGAGCUGAAAAUAACUUGUAGACAAUUUUUAACACUGAAGAACCUUGUGGCAGGCAACUAAGAAUAGUCGAAUGAUGUUUAGCAUAUUUGUAAGAGGUAUUUUCUUUUAAUUCUAGUUAACUGGUUGCAUGCUUGUUCAUUUGGCUGGCUUGCUUGGGUACAAAUAAUGGUUUGAAUAAAGAAAGGUAUUAAUGGGUCACCUCAAGUGAAGGCACUGCAAACACAAU
ensembl:processed_transcript Gas5 growth arrest specific 5